GUGCUGUCUUCAGCAGCACAUCUACUAAAAUUGGAACAAUAUAAAGAAACUCAGCACGGCCCCUGCACAUACUAAUGUGUGAAGCAUUCCAUAUUAAA
ensembl:snRNA U6 U6 spliceosomal RNA